UUCCACGUUUUCCGCGCCGUAGCUAACGCAUUAAGUGCCCCGCCUGGGGAGUACGGCCGCAAGGCUAAAACUCAAAGGAAUUGACGGGGGCCCGCACAAGCGGCGGAGCAUGCGGAUUAAUUCGAUGCAACGCGAAGAACCUUACCAAGGCUUGACAUGAACCGGAAAGACCUGGAAACAGGUGCCCCGCUUGCGGUCGGUUUACAGGUGGUGCAUGGUUGUCGUCAGCUCGUGUCGUGAGAUGUUGGGUUAAGUCCCGCAACGAGCGCAACCCUCGUUCUAUGUUGCCAGCGCGUUAUGGCGGGGACUCAUAGGAGACUGCCGGGGUCAACUCGGAGGAAGGUGGGGACGACGUCAAAUCAUCAUGCCCCUUAUGUCUUGGGCUUCACGCAUGCUACAAUGGCCGGUACAAAGGGUUGCGAUACUGUGAGGUGGAGCUAAUCCCAAAAAGCCGGUCUCAGUUCGGAUUGGGGUCUGCAACUCGACCCCAUGAAGUCGGAGUCGCUAGUAAUCGCAGAUCAGCAACGCUGCGGUGAAUACGUUCCCGGGCCUUGUACACACCGCCCGUCAAGUCACGAAAGUUGGUAACACCCGAAGCCGGUGGCCUAACCCUUGUGGGGGGAGCCGUCGAAGGUGGGACCGGCGAUUGGGACUAAGUCGUAACAAGGUAGCCGUACCGGAAGGUGCG
rnacentral:rRNA from 1 species